AGGCAGCAGGCGCGCAAAUUACCCACUCCCGGCACGGGGAGGUAGUGACGAAAAAUAACAAUACGGGACUCUUUUGAGACCCCGUAAUUGGAAUGAGUACACUCUAAAUCCUUUAACGAGGAUCUAUUGGAGGGCAAGUCUGGUGCCAGCAGCCGCGGUAAUUCCAGCUCCAAUAGCGUAUAUUAAAGUUGUUGCGGUUAAAAAGCUCGUAGUUGGAUCUCAGUUCCAGACGGGCGGUCCGCCUAACGGUGGUUACUGCCUGGCCUGAACAGCCAGCCGGUUUCCCUAGAUGAUCUUCACCGGUUGUCUUGGGUGACCGGCACGUUUACUUUGAAAAAAUUAGAGUGCUCAAAGCAGGCGUGUAGCCUGAAUAAUGGUGCAUGGAAUAAUGGAAUAGGACUUCGUUUCUAUUUUGUUGGUUUUCGGAACACGAGGUAAUGAUUAAGAGGGACAGACGGGGGCAUUCGUAUUGCGACGCUAGAGGUGA
rnacentral:rRNA from 1 species